GGAGAAUUCUGGGAAGUAUAGGGCAGACAGCAGAAGCCACAUGAGACUGGAAGGUAGAAUGCGUGCCGGAUCCUUCUCAGGAAGCAUGGCGGCAUGAAGGGGCGGAGAGAGAAACCCGAGAGCUCUACAUCUGCAGACAACAGGACACUGGACCUGACCUGAGCAUUUGAAACUUCAAAGCCCGGCCCCAGUGACACACCCACUCCAACUGGUACUGGUUGUUUUAUUACUCUUCACUCUUUGGUCUUUUGGACGCCUGCCACCCAGCUCCCAAAUAAACACAUGGAGACUUAUUAUUACUUAUAAA